AAGUAGCAUUUGAAGAUUGAAAUUUAGAAGGAGAACGUAUUGAGUUUUUUAACACCGACUUUGACCCUACCGUUCGUCACACCGUGUGGAACUUAAUCUUUGGAGGAAGCUUUUUAUUGCUAACUAGAUUCGGAGUUGACCAAGUCCUGGUGCAACGUUAUCUAAACACACCUUCCCUGAAGGCUGCUCGCUAACGAUAUGGAUCAACCUUCUUGGCGGGUUUAUUAUUAUAACAGCUUCAUGCCUUGCCGGACUUAUUAUUUACAGUAGAUAUCACGAAUGUGACCCCAUCACCGCUGGACUUGUCAAUGCCCCGGAU